AGCGUGUUUUCACUUUAGUAUCUCCGGCUGCUUCUCCAUCUCUGCAAUUUUGGAAUUGAAUGUUUUCGAUCAAUAAAGAUGGAACACUUCAAGGAAAGGUUAACCACGGGGGCUCGGAGACGCAAACACUUGCAUGACUCGACUUUGGGGAGAUUACAGCUAAGGCUUUAGUCGCCACCGUUGAGAGUGAAGCAGGAAGUAGAAACUAAAAUUAACCUGACUAGAAAAAAUUCUCAGUGCUGACUAAGGUUUUUACAAAGGGAGACAGACUGAGAAGCGCACAAGUAUAAAUGGUUUGUGAAGGCUACAUGCAUAAACUGCGGUCUCUAUGUCCAUCAGUACACUAAAAGUGCCUUAACGUGGAGGAGGUGGAGCUUAUGACCUGUAUUGUACCUAACCCUAACCGUAAGCCUCGCUCUAAUCAUAACCCUAGCCACUAACCCUAUGCCCCCUUUAACAUGGUUUUUCCAUUGGUUUUUCCUCUUAAAUAUCUGCAGUGUCUUCCACUUCCUGGUCUGUUGCAUUCUGGGUACUUCAAACGUCUCUCUUUUGAUGGUUCAUUUUGGCUGCCUUUUGGAUUUAAGAUCUUAGUGUCACAUAUUGGACGAGCCGUCUCAUAGUGCCGCUUCCAUUUUUAUGCUUUGUAUACAUACUUUUCACUGUUUUGAAAUUUCAACAUGUUCAACCAUGAUUGUACCCCGUUACCUGCAGUGACUCCUUCUCAGAUGGGUGACUUCACAUUCCACUAAAUGUUUAAGAUAACUGUUUCUUUAUUCUUCCCCAUAGAAAUGACCUGUCCAUGGGAUGUCAGCUACUAUAUACAAUCAAUGGGUAACAGUGGAGGAGAGCUGAUCUUUGCUCUGAUUGGCUGGACUGGUGCAACCUAGCGGUGCUAACCAACAGUCUUUGCUGGUCAGGUGGUCGUAGGAGGAAAAAUCAGAAGAGUUCAGCUAUGAACAACAUCACAUUAGACACCACUCAGAGUCUGAGAGACCUGCAGCUGGAACUGGAACUGGAACUGGAAAUUCUGGUGGAUCCAGUACUGAAAGACUGCAUCUGCACUUCUGGCGAUCUGGUGGCAGCUGUACUCUUCCUAACUGAGAAUCUGUAUCUUCAAGUUUUUUUCCUGCAUUAGGUUUCUUGUUUUAGCCAUUUUUGUUUCUG